UACGUAGGUGGCAAGCGUUGUCCGGAUUAUCUGGGCGUAAAGAGCGCGCAGGCGGUCGUUCAAGUCGCGUGUGAAAGCCCCCGGCUCAACUGGGGAGGGUCACGCGAUACUGAUCGACUCGAAGGCAGGAGAGGGAAGUGGAAUUCCCGGUGUAGUGGUGAAAUGCGUAGAUAUCGGGAGGAACACCAGUGGCGAAGGCGACUACCUGGCCUGUUCUUGACGCUGAGGCGCGAAAGCUAGGGGAGCAAACGGG
rnacentral:rRNA from 1 species